GAAAUGCGAUACUUGGUGUGAAUUGCAGAAUCCCGUGAACCAUCGAGUCUUUGAACGCAAGUUGCGCCCGAAGCCAUUAGGCCGAGGGCACGCCUGCCUGGGUGUCACACAAACGCAAACAUG
rnacentral:misc_RNA from 1 species